rnacentral:rRNA from 1 species
UACGUAGGUGGCAAGCGUUGUCCGGAUUUAUUGGGUUUAAAGGGUGCGUAGGCGGUCUAUUAAGUCAGCGGUGAAAUACUCCAGCUUAACUGGAGGGGUGCCAUUGAUACUGAUGGACUUGAGUCAAGUCGAGGUAGGCGGAAUUGACGGUGUAGCGGUGAAAUGCUUAGAUAUCGUCAAGAACACCAAUAGUGAAGACAGCUUACUGGGCUUAAACUGGCGCUGAGGCACGAAGGCCAGGGGAGCAAACGGG